rnacentral:rRNA from 1 species
UACCAGCACCCCGAGUGGUCGGGACGUUUUAUUGGGCCUAAAGCAUCCGUAGCCGGUUCUACAAGUCUUCCGUUAAAUCCACCUGCUUAACAGAUGGGCUGCGGAAGAUACUAUAGAGCUAGGAGGCGGGGAGAGGCAAGCGGUACUCGAUGGGUAGGGGUAAAAUCCGUUGAUCCAUUGAAGACCACCAGUGGCGAAGGCGGCUUGCCAGAACGCGCUCGACGGUGAGGGAUGAAAGCUGGGGGAGCAAACCGGG